GUGGCAGUGGGCGGAGGAAACUUACACUGGUGCCACAAGGUUCACAAGGCUACACUGCAAAGAUGCUUAAAACCAACACUUCAAAUGGAAAGCACAUGCUGUACAUAAUACCCCUGCAGGAGAAGCUUGAUGUUACCCCACUUCCUCAUGAUGCUCAGGAAUUCAGCACAAUGCCCAAAUCAUGCUGCAUGAAAUGCGGCACUACAAUGCCCCUUCAGCUGCUAGUUGGACACAUUGAUGCAUGCGUUGAUGUAAGUUUUUCAUUUACCACCAGUUAAUGUCAAGAAAGAUUAUGCUUACAGUUUAAGAAAAAGCUGUCACUAUAAACCCUUGAAUAGUCAUUGAAGUAUGCAUUGUUAAAUAUUUUUUGUUGCCAGGAACCACUGUUGGGAGACAGUGAAGAUUUGCUUGAAAUAGAUGUUGCUACCGAGGAUGAUGUUAAGGGCACCUGUCCAAUUUGUGGUGUUGAGUUUCCUGUUUUUGUUUUACCCCAUCAUGCCAGUUCAUGCGGUGAAAGGUAAUGAAACAAGGCAAAAGUUUGAUAAAGGGUUUCACAUAUUUGCGCUUUCUUAAUUUCAUGUUUAUCUUCUGCUUCAAGGGCACCCCCUGAUCGGGCAGGUACAAGUGGCUUGUCUCCAUCUACCUCUUCGUGGGCACCUCCUGAUCGGGCAGGUCCAAGUGGCUUGUCUCCAUCUACCUCUACCUCUUCGUGGGCACCUCCUGAUCGGGCAGCUUGGAAAAAUGUCCUUUGUCCGAAAGGAGCAACAGCCCUCUACAGGAGACAACUGUUAAGGGAGAAGGAAACGGAGCCUCCAAUUCGAGCCAGCAUAGAAAUAAGAGGGGACCAAAUAUCCCAAAGUAGAGAGAUUCUCAUGUUUUACAAAACCCCUGAUGUUGACUGGGCAUGUCCCCUACAUUGUACUCUACAAGGUGACCCAGCUGUUGGAGUCGGAGUGAAUCGCCAUUAUCUUAGUUUGGCUAUGUCAAAACUCCAAAAUGGCUUCAAUGUGAACACUGGUA
rnacentral:lncRNA from 1 species